rnacentral:rRNA from 1 species
UACGGAAGGCAGCAGUGGGGAAUAUUGCACAAUGGGCGCAAGCCUGAUGCAGCCAUGCCGCGUGUAUGAAAAAGGCCUUCGGGUUGUAAAGUACUUUCAGUCGUGAGGAAGGUGUUAAGGUUAAUAACCUUAGCAAUUGACGUUAGCGACAGAAGAAGCACCGGCUAACUCCGUGCCAGCAGCCGCGGUAAUACGGAGGGUGCGAGCGUUAAUCGGAAUUACUGGGCGUAAAGGGCACGCAGGCGGUUAAUUAAGUUGGAUGUGAAAUUCCCGGGCUUAACCUGGGAAUGGCAUUCAAGACUGGUUAGCUAGAGUCUUGUAGAGGGGGUAGAAUUCCAUGUGUAGCGGUGAAAUGCGUAGAGAUGUGGAGGAAUACCGGUGGCGAAGGCGGCCCCUGGACAAAGACUGACGCUCAUGUGCGAAAGCGUGGGGAGCAAACAGGGAUUAGAUACC